ensembl:miRNA
GGUUUCUCUGUGUAGCUUUGGCUGUCCUGGAACUCACUCUGUAGACCAGGCUGGCCUUGAACUCAGAGCUCCACCUGCCUCUGCCUCCUGAGUGCUGGGAUUACAUGCAUGCGCCACCACUGCCUG